AUUGAACGCUGGCGGUAUGCAUAACACAUGCAAGUCGAACGGUAGCAGGUCUAGCUUGCUAGAUGCUGACGAGUGGCGGACGGGUGAGUAACGCGUAGGAAUCUGCCUUAUAGUGGGGGGAUAACCUGGGGAAACUCAGGCUAAUACCGCAUAAGCCCGAGGGUGAAAGUGUGGGACCUGAAAAGGCCACAUGCUAUAAGAUGAGCCUGCGUAGGAUUAGCUAGUUGGUGGGGUAAAGGCUUACCAAGGCAAAGAUCCUUAACUGGUCUGAGAGGACGACCAGUCACACUGGGACUGAGACACGGCCCAGACUCCUACGGGAGGCAGCAGUGGGAAUAUUGGACAAUGGGCGCAAGCCUGAUCCGGCCAUGCCGCGUGUGUGAAGAAGGCCUCGG
rnacentral:rRNA from 1 species